rnacentral:rRNA from 1 species
GACAGCAGUAGCCGCGGUAAUACGGAGGGUGCAAGCGUUAAUCGGAAUUACUGGGCGUAAAGCGCACGCAGGCGGUCUGACAAGUCAGAUGUGAAAUCCCCGGGCUUAACCUGGGAACUGCAUUUGAAACUGUCAGGCUGGAGUCUUGUAGAGGGGGGUAGAAUUCCAGGUGUAGCGGUGAAAUGCGUAGAGAUCUGGAGGAAUACCGGUGGCGAAGGCGGCCCCCUGGACAAAGACUGACGCUCAGGUGCGAAAGCGUGGGGAGCAAACAGGAUUAGAUACCCGGGUAGUCCCUGUCUCUUAUAA